rnacentral:lncRNA from 1 species
UUCUGUACAUCGUAAGGAUGGGGGCGGUCGGCUACUGGCGCUAGGGUGGUGCUCGCAGCAAUGCCUUUUGCACCCCGCUGUAUGCAUUGCAGUGCAUGAUGAGGGAACCGACCGGCGGUUGCGACCCCAAGGCCUCCGGUUUCUCGCCUCUUGAUUGUGGCGAGAGUGCGCCUGCAGUUGAGCAUACUUGGCACAUGCGGGGCGAUGCCAGCUCGUCCAGUGAUCAUCUGCAGGGUCCUGGACACGCUGCCGGUCCGUGCCCAUCACCCCUUCCCUUACAGCAUGUAUGUCCUUCGCAUCCCCCCUGCCGCCGCCGCCGUGGUGGCGCUCCUGGUGUCGUGUCUUGAUUCGCCUGACUGUCCGUCUG